AUACGUAGGGAGCGAGCGUUGUCCGGAAUUACUGGGUGUAAAGGGAGCGUAGGCGGGAGUGCAAGUCAGAUGUGAAAUGCAUGGGCUUAACCCAUGAGCUGCAUUUGAAACUGCAUUUCUUGAGUGAAGUAGAGGUAAGCGGAAUUCCUGGUGUAGCGGUGAAAUGCGUAGAUAUCAGGAGGAACACCGGUGGCGAAGGCGGCUUACUGGGCUUUUACUGACGCUGGGGCUCGAAAGCGUGGGGAGCAAACAGGAUUAGAUACCCUGGUAGUCCACGCUGUAAACGAUGAUUACUAGGUGUGGGGGGACUGACCCCUUCCGUGCCGCAGUUAACACAAUAAGUAAUCCACCUGGGGAGUACGGCCGCAAGGUUGAAACUCAAAUGAAUUGACGGGG
rnacentral:rRNA from 1 species